CCGCCAGACGCGCGCGCUGUACGUCCGAGCACGCAUCAGUGCGUAACUGCGUAUGACGAAAUCACGUUAGGGCAAGCCCCCCCGGAGCCCAUAGAAAUGCAUUGUAUCGUUCGAUUUUUGAAAAAACGAGUCUCAACAUGUAAGUCUAUGAGAGCGCCUGGGGCGAUUUUCAAUCUGACUGAUAUCGCCCCAAGGGGGCGGGGCUACUGGUUGGACAGUGACAUCCAGGCUGCUGAUUGUCGCAGCGAUAUUCAGGCUGCUGUUUGGACUAUACUAUUAAGACUUAGACCGGCAAAAUAAACUCUUUUCUCUCUUUUUUUUUUUUUUUUUUUCGUUUGGCUUAAGGAGGGCGGUGCACUAUCGCCCCCUAUGGGCCAGCCGCCCCUGUUAACGUGUCUCUUGUGCUGAGCAAAACCGCUGCGAAGAGAGACUAGGUGAGGCACGCAGUUCUCCUGCCUCAUGGCAGGGGGUGCUAGUGAGUCCAGUGAUUCUUCGUGCGCUGCAGAAUAAGUGACGGCGAGCUAAAAUUUACAGUUAAGUCAAGUGCAGUCGUUUGCUUAUUUUUUCGUCUCGCCUGACCCUACUUUUAGAAUGGAGGAUUGCAUAUCCAAACUAAAACAAUUUUCUUAGAUGGAUUUUCAGUCGAAGCAGGAGGUCAUCAUUAAAGGAAGACCAACGCCGGAGCUUAAAGCGAUCCAAUGUAGCAUUUGUACCUUAAAAUAACAGCUUGAAAAAAAUUGAGCGGCCCCCUCCACGCACCCAGGUAUAAGGAGAAGCAAGCGCAGCAUUGUCAGUACAUCAUCAUGGCAGAGGCACCGAAGAAAAAGAAGACGUUGACUGAUGAAGCAAGGAAGAGAAAGAGAGAGGCCGACAAAGUAAGAGACCGGACUAGAGUUGCUCUCGGAACAGUUUAUACACGUUGGCGAGAUCUGAAAGAAACAUUUGGAUACAAGUUUGAUUCAGAGCUUGCCACCUUUCUGCUGGAUUACUAUCAAAAGCGGCAAGUAACGUCUACAACCAGCAAGGGACAUGCUCAACCACCACCACCGCCUGUAUCAAGUAUUUCAGAAGAGUCCGACCGAGGUGGGGACAAAGAAUUUUCUGUGCAAGGUGUUCAACCGUUGGGCAAAGAAACAGAAGAGGUCGGUGUGUUGGAAUCCAGCAUGCACUCCCUGAGCAUUGCUGAAGAAGAGCAGCAUGACUCUCUGGAUGAGGAGGAGGCAAAUGAUCUGAGGAAUAGCAUUAUUGACAUGGAUGAUGGCUGGGAGGUUCCUGGUCAGGAGAGCUUGGAAGAAGAUGAGGACAGCUCUGAUGAAGACUAUAUUCCUUUUCUACAUGUUUUUUUAACAUUGAACAUAAAUAAGAAUGGUAUCAAAACUAUUUACACAUCUACAUUAAUCGUCGCACCCUGAAGCCAACAUAUUGACCUAAGGGGUUAGGAAAUGUAGUUCUUAUUUUCCAAACACAGCAGCUUGGAAUGACAACUCUAUUGCCCUCACCCAAGCGUCCAUGCUGCCACAGGACAAAUUGGCGGUAUGCCGCAUGCCUGUACUGGCGCUGCUCCACCCCUGGUUCCUAUUCGUCAUCUAUGGCAAAGACAUCGUUCCAUGCCGCACGGGCCAGCCUUAGGACACCCAUAUCAAGUAUGAAAAAUUCCAUGUGUGCCAUGGUGCUAACACAAUUUUGGGGGGUCUGGCGGCAGCAGAGCCUUUCCAUGUCAGUUGUCAUCUCCCUGCAGUAAGUGCAGGUGCACCAAUGUAAAGGCCCCCCAUCUGGCACAUCAGGCCUUUGGGGAACCUCUUGCAAUGACAAGAUGUCAAACAUGAGGCCCGGCAGUCUGGACAUCACUCUUUCCAGAAGAGCAUCUUUUUGGAGGUUGCUCCUGCAGCCUUCCCAGGUCUUCUGGGUCGACAUCUCUGACCCUAGGUCUGCCUCUGCCUCUACCCCCCCUGCUCACACCUCCCCUCCCCCUUGCUCCUCUCCCCCUAGCUCCCCUCCCCCGUCUGCUCCUCUGACCUCUUCCUCCAACCUGGCUGGUCUCAACCUCAGAAGAGGCUGAAGUGGAAGUUGAAUCCUGCAACACAAUCACAAAAAUGUAUUGACAUCCAAACCUCAUACAACGUUAGCCAUGCAUGAAUUAUCCUUUCGAAUUCAGCUAAUACAGUGAUAUAAUAAACUGUUACUACUGUGACGUUAGUGGUUGUGAUUUAUCCCAUGUCGAUAAAACAACGAAAAUUGAUGUAUUGUGAUAUACAUCCCUGCCAAUGUCAUUCAUGAAAGCAUGCAAUGUAGGCUGUAGCCUUAUUAGUGUCAUCCCUGUCUCACGGAGACAUGUAGUUUUUGUAGAUGCCAAAAGUCAUCUGUCCCGUCUCAGACAAGCAUGCAAAUAAAAUGUGGUCAUUCUUCCUCAAUCUCACGCCAGGUACGUUUGUAAUCUUCUAAACCUAACUUCUCUAUCUUAUAAUAAAAUGCACGUUCCAAUGUAUAGUAUGCCUAUGUGCCUUUUCGAUGUUGUCAACAAUAUUGCGUUAGA